GAUGAACGCUGGCGGCGCACAUAAGACAUGCAAGUCGAACGAACUUAACCUUUAGUUUACUAAUGGAGCGGUUAGUGGCGGACUGGUGAGUAACACGUAAGCAACCUGCUUAUCAGAGGGGAACAACAGUUAGAAAUGACUGCUAAUACCGCAUAUGCCUUGAAUAUCACAUGAUAUAAAAGGGAAAGGAGCAAUCUGCUGAUAGAUGGGCUUGCGUCUGAUUAGAUAGUUGGUGGGGUGACGGCCUACCAAGUCGACGAUCAGUAGCCGGACUGAGAGGUUGAACGGCCACAUUGGGACUGAGAUACGGCCCAG
rnacentral:rRNA from 1 species